rnacentral:lncRNA from 1 species
CAGUGUUCUAAAUCCAGAGUCCUAAUCUAGAUAUAAAUACGCUGAAUGUUAUGAAUAUAGUUUCCUAAACUGAGCCCUACAUCUGCGUCCUCAUCUGUGAGAUAAAGGUCACUCGCCAUGGCCUGAUGCAGAGUCAUGACGAUUAAGGUCCUUACUUAUAAAAAGUCAUUUUUAUUCUCAUCUGGGCAAAAGUGAAGUUCAAAGUCAGAGUUCCAUCAGAGUUCAGCUUCUGUGAUCCAUCAGACGAUUCCUGUUUAGAAGAGAGCUUUCUAAAGUCACAAGUGUUCUGCAUCACGGCACACUGCUGACUAAUUUGCAUUAAUAACUGAUGGUAGGAGAAAGAGCCCCGGAGAAAAAGCAGUACGCCUGCUUUUGCCAAAUUGGAGCUGACCCAACUAGGAACAAUUUCCAGUGUACUUUCAUAUUCUCCUGCCUCACGUGUGUGUUCCUGCUGCCUAAACAUACAUUUUUGACACGGGGUCUUGGACACCCCAGGAGGUACAAGGCCCUGUGGACUUUUUGUUCCAGGAGGUUAUGGUGCCAGAUCAGAAUAGAAAUUGCAAGACUUGAAACCACUGAACUGCACAUCUGA